rnacentral:rRNA from 1 species
AUUGAACGCUGGCGGCAUGCUUUACACAUGCAAGUCGAACGGUAACAGGGUGCUUGCACCGCUGACGAGUGGCGAACGGGUGAGUAAUGCGUCGGAACGUGCCGAGUAGUGGGGGAUAACGCAUCGAAAGGUGUGCUAAUACCGCAUACGUACUGAGGUAGAAAGUGGGGGACCUUCGGGCCUCACGCUAUUCGAGCGGCCGACGUCUGAUUAGCUAGUUGGUGAGGUAAAGGCUCACCAAGGCGACGAUCAGUAGCGGGUGUGAGAGGAUGAUCCGCCGCACUGGGAGUGAGACACGGCCCAGACUCCUACGGGAGGCAGCAGUGGGGAAUUUUGGACAAUGGGCGCAGGCCUGAUUCAGCCAUGCCGCGUGUCUGAAGAAGGCCUUCGGGUUGUAAAGGACUUUUGUCCGGGAGCAAAUACCCAGUGCUAAUAACGCUGGGGGCUGAGAGUACCGGAAGAAUAAGCACCGGCUAACUACGUGCCAGCCGCCGCUGUAAAAC